AUUGAACGCUGGCGGCAGGCUUAACACAUGCAAGUCGAGCGGGGUGAUGGUGCUUGCACUAUCACUUAGCGGCGGACGGGUGAGUAAUGUUUAGGAAUCUGCCUAUUAGUGGGGGACAACAUCUCGAAAGGGAUGCUAAUACCGCAUACGUCCUACGGGAGAAAGCAGGGGAUCACUUGUGACCUUGCGCUAAUAGAUGAGCCUAAGUCGGAUUAGCUAGUUGGUGGGGUAAAGGCCUACCAAGGCGACGAUCUGUAGCGGGUCUGAGGGGAUGAUCCGCCACACGUGGACUGAGACACGGCCCAGACUCCUACGGGAGGCAGCAGUGGGGAAUAUUGGACAAUGGGGGGAACCCUGAUCCAGCCAUGCCGCGUGUGUGAAGAAGGCCUUAUGGUUGUAAAGCACUUUAAGCGAGGAGGAGGCUCUUUUGGUUAAUACCCAAGAUGAGUGGACGUUACUCGCAGAAUAAGCACCGGCUAACUCUGUGCCAGCCGCCGCCGUAA
rnacentral:rRNA from 1 species